rnacentral:rRNA from 1 species
UACGGAGGAUCCAAGCGUUAUCCGGAAUCAUUGGGUUUAAAGGGUGCGUAGGUGGGCUGGUAAGUCAGUGGUGAAAUCCCCGAGCUUAACUUGGGAACUGCCAUUGAUACUAUCAGUCUUGAAUACCGUGGAGGUCAGCGGAAUAUGUCAUGUAGCGGUGAAAUGCUUAGAUAUGACAUAGAACACCAAUUGCGAAGGCAGCUGGCUACACGAAUAUUGACACUGAGGCACGAAAGCGUGGGGAUCAAACAGG